AUUGAACGCUGGCGGAAUGCUUUACACAUGCAAGUCGAACGGCAGCACGGGGCAACCUGGUGGCGAGUGGCGAACGGGUGAGUAAUACAUCGGAACGUGCCCAAUCGUGGGGGAUAACGUAGCGAAAGUUACGCUAAUACCGCAUACGAUCUACGGAUGAAAGCGGGGGAUCGCAAGACCUCGCGCGAAUGGAGCGGCCGAUGUCAGAUUAGGUAGUUGGUGGGGUAAAGGCUCACCAAGCCAACGAUCUGUAGCUGGUCUGAGAGGACGACCAGCCACACUGGGACUGAGAACCGGCCCAGACUCCUACGGGAGGCAGCAGUGGGGAAUUUUGGACAAUGGGCGCAAGCCUGAUCCAGCCAUUCCGCGUGCAGGAUGAAGGCCUUCGGGUUGUAAACUGCUUUUGUACGGAACGAAACGGUUCUCUCUAAUACAGGGGGCUAAUGACGGUACCGUAAGAAUAGGCACCGGCUAACUACGUGCCAGCAGCCGCCGUAAUAC
rnacentral:rRNA from 1 species